rnacentral:rRNA from 1 species
GAUGAACGCUAGCGGCAGGCUUAAUACAUGCAAGUCGAGGGCAGCAGGUCUGUAGCAAUACAGAUGUUGGCGACCGGCAAACGGGUGCGGAACACGUACAGAACCUUCCUUCGAGCGGGGAAUAGCCCAGAGAAAUUUGGAUUAAUACCCCAUAGUAUAUUAGAGUGGCAUCACUUUAAUAUUAAAGAUUUAUCACUUGAAGAUGGCUGUGCGGCUGAUAGGUAGUUGGCGGGGUAACGGCCCACCAAGCCAGCGAUCAGUAACUGGUGUGAGAGCACGACCAGUCACACGGGCAC